rnacentral:misc_RNA from 1 species
UGCUAUAGGCCGAGAUAUCAUUGAAAAAAUGAACACAAAUUGACGGAGAUAAGCCUGAACAAUUCGUUCAUUAUCACUUGGAAUGUCGUUGGAGCAUUUGUUAGCCCAAAAGACAUGACUAAGAAUUCAUAGCAGUCAGAAUGUGUUCAAAACAUAGUUUUAUGAAUGUCUUCCUCUAUCACUUGAAUUUGAUAAUAGCUCGAUCUCAAAUCCAUUUUCAAAAAGCACUUGGUAUCGUUUAAUAAAUCCAACAUUUUAUUGAUGAUUGGAAUAGAGUACGUGUUGGCAAUUCAAAGGAAUAUAAUUGCCUAAAGAAUAAGAUGGAUUUUAAUAAUCCAAACAGACACUUAAAUAAUUUAUUGAUUAAAAAGAGAACGAACACUAUCUCACAAAUACAAAACGUUAUGCUCACAUGCCACAGCUCGUAAAAGCUUUUUUCUUAGCUCGUUGGAGCUAAUUACACACAAUUUUCAAAUGCUAGGACGAGAUCCUUUAUAUAGCAAAAUAAAUGGCGGUUCAAAAGACAAAAGUUUUCUCCUAUCUAUAUAAUAAUUUGUUGGUAAUUCUACAAGGUUAAGAAAUUCAACUUUGGUUAUUCUUAACAAAGAAGAAAA